rnacentral:rRNA from 1 species
UACGUAGGGAGCAAGCGUUGUCCGGAAUCAUUGGGCGUAAAGCGCGUGUAGGCGGCCCGAUAAGUCCGCUGUGAAAGUCCAGGGCUCAACCCUGGGAUGCCGGUGGAUACUGUCGGGCUCGAGUCCGGAAGAGGCGAGUGGAAUUCCUGGUGUAGCGGUGAAAUGCGCAGAUAUCAGGAGGAACACCAAUGGCGAAGGCAGCUCGCUGGGACGUGACUGACGCUGAGACGCGAAAGCGUGGGGAGCAAACAGG